UAAAUACUUCUUAGAAGAGGGAAUAGCAGAGAGCUCUCCGUCAACAUGCUUGCUUCCUCACGAGGGUAAAUUGGUCAUUUCAUGCGUUAUUAUGCUUAAAUUGUCUAUUGUGCCCGUUUUUGUUGUUAACGUGUCUGAUCUGGAGUGGAGUCCAAAGCUACUUUGCUACCGUGUCACGAUGUCAAUCACCACUGCACUCUCUUGGUUAAUCUGUUUCUCUCUCCUCAUGCCAACGUUCAAAGUUUUGUUAUUCCAAGGUAAUUCGAUAGUUCAAAAGUUAGUUUAUUGAUCUAUGUUUUCGUACGACGAAGCUUCAUCUCUGUUCUUGUGACUUUCUGAUUUUGUGUUUUUCCUAUAGCCUUUAAUUCCUCUGUAAGUUUCUUUUUGCUUUAUAUUUCACUUUGUUUUUUGAAUGUUUAUUGUCGUCUGAUUGCGUCGCCCCAGCUUUGUAAUUGAUUUGUUUUAUUGACAUGCAAAUGGGUAAUUUGUGCAAAAAUUGGUUUGAUCCUUGCAAUUUUUGACAUUUUACAGCUGGAUAACACUCUAUUUCGUAGUCUGCGACAAACUACUUAAAUUUAAUUUGAUUUUUACGCCAUAGAUCACCAAAAAGUUUAUUGUCAGAUCUGAUGCAAAUGGUAAAGAGAAACAUUUACAGUGAUGGAAGUUCGCAUGUAGAGCAACGAUUUCUCACUGUGAAUGAUUAAGCUAUGAGAUUGUAGUUUAGCUAUGAGAUCAUACGACUUUGCACAUGUCCUUGAUACAGAAAGCUUAAUGAAGCAGUGUUAAAAGCAAAGCUGCUUUUUUGCUUAAACAUUUGAAGAAUAUGUUGCAUAAGAAUCCCUAUAGGCAUGAUUACUAAGUGUAAAUAGUUAGAACAUAUGUGUGCACAAUCUUGAGAACAAGUCUCCAUAUGGAGAAGGUUGGCUCCUAGCUCGCUGCAGUCCUAGAAAUUGCUCUACUAUUACUAUGGAAGUAUUUUCAAUUUUAUUUCUUUAAUUAUAAACCUAUUUACCUUCUACACAAUUCUGACUACGAAAGAAUCUGUAAAGUUCUUACAAAUGUAAAUUGAUCUUGUGUAGUUUUAGAAGCACGAAGCUCGUCGAUAAAAGAUGAGAUAAACACUAAAAUAACCUCUAGAUCUAAUAGUUACAAAUACAAAAUCCAGUUUCACUAUACAACCUUGGUCAGAGUGUAGCCCAGAUAUACAUAGGUCCAGUUAAAAAAAAAAAGAAAAAUACUUCUGAUUUACUGCUCUUUAUGAUUCUGCCACAGAUUUGCAACGUUUUUCAUACUUGCCCCUGCUAUAUUUCUUAACAUUCUGAUAGUUUUCAGUAGCAUAAACGAAUACUGUAUUUUGACAAAGUUUUCCCGCAUUAUUAAAUUUGGUGUGUACGUUUAAGAUAUUAGGGAAAUAACAUUGUAAUUAUGGUACCUAUUACUUUCAUAUAUGCUGCUCCCUUGAAAGGUUUACAACUUCAGCUUCAGUCUUUCACUUUAACCAUUGUCUUGAACUCAUCUGAUGAAGAAUGAAACUAACAUACCAAAACCAAAUACACAUUUAUUUAAUUUUUCAAAUGAUAGUGUAUUUUACAAUAGAAUAACUUUGUCAUAGCCUUAUAUUGAAUUCAUCUACCUUUCUAUUGUCAGUAGAAUAAACAACAAACUCUCCUGCUUAAAGUCUACUGAGGUACUUUUUGGCUUGAUUUCUGUGAACUAUUUGAAAUGCAGAUAUCUCACAAUAAUAAGUUUGUGAAGAAAUGUCUUCUGACCGAAGGAACAAACAUAUACAAAAGAUACAAAAGAGGAAUCCUUAGUGGAAAAACUUAUUGCAGAAGCAUCUGUAGGAGAAAAUUGUUGUAUUAUUAUAUUCAUCACCGAUGUCUGGUAUUUAUAUUGCCACAGUCCUUAAUAAGUUAUAAUCACUGACAUCCCUGCUAGGGCUAAAACAUGUGAACUUAUUUAGUGGAAAAUGUGUGAACUUGUAGCUAUCUUUUUUUCGAGAUUAACAGCACUGCACAAAUGACAUUCCUCAAACAAACAGAUAAAGCACUUGGAGCAAAUUAAAACACAUGUAUAGCCCAUCAAAGCAGAAAAAACUAAACAAUUCACGUACGGUAAAGUAUCAUUCAGCGAAAUAAACCUUUUAACAUGCUAAUCAGAAAAGUUAUAGAAAUUAUGUACAUCAGAAAAGAUGAAAUUGCAUAUUUAAAUAAUGAACAAAACCUUGAUGUUAUUUUUAUAUGUCAGAACUUGCUAGAUUCUAAACUCGUUAAGGUUUUUCUCAUUUUGAUUGAAUAGUAAAACUGGAUAUUUAUUUCUCAUAAGUUCUCUUUAUAUAGAAAAAACUAUUGUUGCUAUUAGACUGUGGGUAGUCUUGAUAUUUUCAGAUUCAUCUCUGAAUUAACUCUCAGUAAUUCACAUCAAUGCCACAAUGAUUACAUUUACUGGGCAGUUUGCUGAUGCAUUUAUGACCGUAAUAACUGAUGAACUUGUACAUUCCAUUUCAUUUUCCUUGUACUCUAAACCCAAAAUGUCAUAUAUGCUAUGCAGCAUGUGCUACAUCUAUAUCUGGGUGGUCAUGAAGAAUAACAACUUCUAUCUUUCAUAUUUUAUUUCUUGUGCAACUAUAAUUUGAACCUUACUAUUUUGUGUCAGGAUUGGUUAAUCUGACUUGUCUAUGUCCGCGCUCAUAAGCAUACUCUACAAUAUUUUUAGAGUAUUGUACAAGUGGUCUGUCAAGUCCUUGCUUAAACAUAAUGUUUAUCUAUACAUUUUACAAUUAUGUCUUCUAAUUAUAUAAUGGUUAGAUUAUUUCACUGUUGCUAGAGUUGAUUUGACAUAAUAGUUUAUCAUCUUUGUUGAUAAAUUUUUUAAUUGUUGCUAUCCUACACAGAUUCAUAUCAGCAGGUACUGCUGGAAGACCAUAUGACUUUGGCAUUGAAGCUUCUGUAUUUGUUGGUUUGUACAUCCAAAGCAUUCCACUGACUUAAAAUAACAAAAUAUUAGAGAAAUAGAUAGCUUAUAAAGAGUAACAUUUCUGUGAUAAUUAUAUAAUCUUCUAUUUCUCUUUUGGACACAAGCUCAUUCCUUGCUGAUAUUGUAACUAUACCUCAAUUUAUAAUAGCAAAGCUUUGUUCAUGUUGGGCUCGGGCAAAGCCCGGUCUACCCUUACUAGUAAACUAGCUACGCAGGAACUACUAACGUUCCACAUCAUCGCAUCCAUUAAUACAAGACAAUUCAAUAUCGAUCCGACUUUUGUUUUGAUUUUUCAUUCGAUCUGCAAUUCUAUAUUAAAGUCCGACUAAUUCAGAU
rnacentral:lncRNA from 1 species